rnacentral:lncRNA from 1 species
AUAGGACCUGUGUGAUCUUACAUUAUGUACAACCAGAAGAAUGAGAAGUUAUACUCCCUUUAUGUAUAAUGUGUCAAAAUGCAUUCUUCUGUCAUGUAUAACUAAUUAGAACAAAUAAAAAUACUAACCUGAUCAGAUUAAAAUUCUAUACUGUGAACUGUGACCAAAGUGUAGGGUUGAAUAGGCUGAUAUCAUAUGCCCAGUAGAGAAAAUGGGAUCUUUCCUGAUGAAGUGAGGAUGGGUGGGAGUUGAGACACCUGGGAAUCUGCAGACAUGGGAGUCAAAGGGUUACACAGGUGUCUAGCUUGGGGGUGAAGUGUAAUUUGUGAGACAGUAAUUGGGAAGAGACAAGGUGUGGUUGGGAGCUUUCUGACCAGGGACUUGACCUGUCACUCUCUCCCCUUAGUCUCUGCUAAGACUUUCAUGAAAGAGUUUGGAAUUUUUUGAAAGAAGAAAAUUCCCAGGCAGUGUGAUGAGAAUAAUUCUGUGAACUGAAAGAACUUAUAGAGACCACAAUUAGAUAAAUACAGGUUUUCAACUGUUCUAGGCGUGACCUUUUCUUAGUUGAUGAGAGAGUGACCCUCUCAGAUACAUAGAGACUAUUUCACAGUCAUCAUAAUGUAGUUGAUGCCAUGGGCCUCCACAGUCCCUGGCUGGGCAAUGCUAUUUAUUUCCAACAGAUGCAGGCUUAAGAUGAAG